rnacentral:rRNA from 1 species
GAUGAACGCUAGCGGGAGGCUUAACACAUGCAAGUCGAGGGGCAGCACGAGGUAGCAAUACUUUGGUGGCGACCGGCGCACGGGUGAGUAACGCGUAUGUAACCUACCCUGUACAGGGGGAUAGCCCGGAGAAAUUCGGAUUAAUACCCCAUAAAGAUAUGAGAUGGCAUCAUUUUAUAUUUAAAGUUCCGACGGUACGGGAUGGGCAUGCGUAACAUUAGCUAGUUGGCAGGGUAACGGCCUACCAAGGCAGCGAUGUUUAGGGGUCCUGAGAGGGUGAUCCCCCACACUGGUACUGAGACACGGACCAGACUCCUACGGGAGGCAGCAGUGAGGAAUAUUGGUCAAUGGGCGCAAGCCUGAACCAGCCAUCCCGCGUGCAGGAAGAAGGCGCUAUGCGUUGUAAACUGCUUUUGCAGGGGAAGAAUGUUUCGCAUGUAUGCGGAAUUGACGGUACCUUGUGAAUAAGCAUCGGCUAACUCCGUGCCAGCAGCCGCGGUAAUACGGAGGAUGCGAGCGUUAUCCGGAUUUAUUGGGUUUAAAGGGUGCGUAAGCGGAUUGAUAAGUCAGUGGUGAAAUACUGCAGCUUAACUGU